AUUCCAUUCAUGAAAGAUCACAUGUGGAGAUUAGAACUGCCAAAAAAAAAUAGCUUAAGCAGCCCUUUGAGUGUUCUAAAAUAGGGACAUUUUCCAGAGC